rnacentral:rRNA from 1 species
AUUGAACGCUGGCGGCAUGCUUUACACAUGCAAGUCGAACGGUAACAGCACUUCGGUGGCUGACGAGUGGCGGACGGGUGAGUAAUACAUCGGAACGUGCCUAGUAGUUGGGGGUAACUACUCGAAAGAGUAGCUAAUACCUCAUGAGGUCUAAGGAUGAGAGCAGGGGAGCUUCGGGCCUUACGCUACUAGAGCGGCUGAUGGCAGAUUAGGUAGUUGGUGGGUUAAAAGCUUACCAAGCCGACGAUUUGUAGCUGGCCUGAGAGGAGGAGCAGCCACACUGGGACUGAGACACGGCCCAGACUCCUACGGGAGGCAGCAGUGGGGAAUCUUGGACAAUGGGCGCAAGCCUGAUCCAGCAACGCCGCGUGCAGGAUGAAGGCCUUCGGGUCGUAAACUUCUUUUGUAAGGAACGAACAGCUCUCUACGAAUCCAGGCGCGUCAUGACGGUACCGUAAGAAUAAGCACCGGCUAACUACGUG